GUGACCAAAGUCUUCUUUGCCGUAAUUUCUCGAAAGACCGGUCUUUUUACGCCUCGACUGGAGGAUCUGAUAGUCGUCCCUUUUGAUCUACCUCUUAAAAAGGGGAAAGUAAAAUUUUAAAAAACGGUCAAACCAAGUAAUAAAGUCUUCCUUUCGGGAUUUGUGAAUGAUUAAACUUACUUGUAGCUUACUUAAGUCUGUUUUAUUUGCUGGAAUUAUUUUACGGUAACGUGAAUUCUUUGUGUGUCCUCUGGAAUUUUGACAUCAUAUUAUCCAUUUAUUUAUUGCCGCCCUAUUAUGUUCUGCCUUCUCCAUGCUGAUAUUUUGCUACAGAAUUAAAUUUAGUUAGAAAACCAAUUUUUAGGGGGUUCUCCAAAUGUUCUCUAUAGUUCACUAAAUGUCCCCUAAGUGUCUCCUAAGUUCUAUGGAUUUUCCUCAGUUUCUUCAUGUCCUUCUUAGCUGAUUGACCAAGCUAGGCUAUAAGUAACCUGGUGAAGAAAGCUGCUAUAUAUCAACACCUCAACCCUCAACUGAUAGCAUCCUCAACACCUCGCCGUCGAUUCCCAAUUCUGUCGAGAGGUAUAUGACCGAACGAGGAAUAAUACUGGCAAGUCCGUUCUAAUUUUAUUAUAGUUUAAAACUACUUUUUUCUAAACAGUUAAAAACUUUUUACUUUUAUAAGAGUUUUAUAGUUUAAUUCAAGUGUAAAUGUAUCCAGGUUAAACAGAAUAAUAAUAUUAUAUUCUCACUUAUGUAAAUAUAGUCCUGUGUUUGCGGUUUAUUUUAUCAUAAUAAUUAGUGGUAUAUAAAUACUUGAUACUUGUUCCCCUGCGCCGAAGGUUCAUGAAUUUUCCCAGGUUCUAAAAGAAUAAUUAUUUAUAACUAUUUAUUAAUUACUUAGCGCACAUAGAACUGUAACUUCGAUGGGAAAAGUUUUGGAGUGUUUUAUUGUUUAAUUUCAUUGUUACUCUAUAGUAAUGCAAUAGAAUUUACUAUUUAUUAUAACUUUAUUGUGGUAAAUACUUAGUAUGGCUUUGGGAAACCCGACUUGUUUUACUUGGGAACGACACCUGACUGAAAAGAAAUUUGUUUAUGAAAUAAUUAAGUUUUCUUGAUUUGCCUGAUUAUAAAUAACACCAAUACUUUGUAAAUUAAACUUUUAAUAAAUCAAGUAGCGUCCAAGGCGGAAACCAGU